AGCGAACGCUGGCGGCAGGCCUAACACAUGCAAGUCGAACGAAGUCUUCGGACUUAGUGGCGGACGGGUGAGUAACACGUGGGAACGUACCUUUUGGUUCGGAACAACUCAGGGAAACUUGAGCUAAUACCGGAUGAGCCCUUAGGGGGAAAGAUUUAUCGCCGAAAGAGCGGCCCGCGUUAGAUUAGCUAGUUGGUGAGGUAAAGGCUCACCAAGGCUACGAUCUAUAGCUGGUUUGAGAGGAUGAUCAGCCACACUGGGACUGAGACACGGCCCAGACUCCUACGGGAGGCAGCAGUGGGGAAUAUUGCGUAAUGGGCGAAAGCGUGACGCAGCCAUGCCGCGUGAAUGAUGAAGGUCUUAGGAUUGUAAAAUUCUUUUACCAGGGACGAUAAUGACGGUACCUGGAGAAAAAGCCCCGGCUAACUUCGUGCCAGCCGCCGCAGUAACAC
rnacentral:rRNA from 1 species